rnacentral:rRNA from 1 species
ACGCUCGACACCUACGGGAGGCAGCAGUGAGGAAUAUUGGUCAAUGGGCGCUAGCCUGAACCAGCCAAGUAGCGUGAAGGAUGAAGGCUCUAUGGGUCUAAACUUCUUUUAUAUAAGAAUAAAGUGCAGUAUGUAUACUGUUUUGUAUGUAUUAUAUGAAUAAGGAUCGGCUAACUCCGUGCCGGCAGCCGCGGUAAUCUGAGCGGGCUGGCAAGGC